CCCCAUUGGUUUCAAAGCGAUGCAACGCGCUUGCGCAUUACACACCCGCACACCGGAGCAGAAUGUAGAAGCGUUAAUACAGUAAAUGGUGGAAGAGAAAAUGUCCAUGGCGGCAGACGAGGAGCUUUCCCAACCAAGCACCAGUGAGGAGGGUGCAGGCAAGGAAGACCAACCAACCCUUGUUCAUCCCUGGCCUUAUCUGGAGGAUUUUUUUGAUAUAACAGGAUGCAAAAACAACUCUUUUCGCAUGCAAUGCAAACUGUGCGCACCGAAGUACCACGAGCUAAUGGCUUUCAAAAACUCACCAUCAAAUUUAAAGAAGCAUAUUGAGUCCCCCGAGGCCAGACAAGAUACAUAAUCCAUCCAGCGGGUUUUGGGUCUACCCCGGAGUCUCCUCCCAGGCGGACAUGCUCGGAAAACCUCCGAAGGAAGUCUCCCCGGAGGCAUCCCAAUCAAAUGUCCAAACCACCUCAACUGGGUCCUCUCUCCGUGAAGGAGUAGUGACUCUACUCUGAGCUCCCUCCAGAUCUCUGAGCUUCUCACCCUAUCUCUAAGGCUGAGUCCUGUCACCCUGAAGGAAGCUCAUUUGGGAUGCUUGUACUUGCAAUCUCAUUCUUUCGUUCACUAACCGGAGUUCAUAACCAUAGGUGGGGGUUAGAACAUAGAUGGUAAAUUGAGAGCUUUGCCUCAGCUCCCUUUUCGCCAUGAAACAAUGGUUUGAUGCAAUGAAAAAUAAAUGAAAUUCACACAGAAUUCAAUAUCAGAGACAAGAUCAUUCGCACUACAACUGACAAUGGAUCGAACUUCCUGAAAGCCUUCAGAGUUUAUGGGAAGACUGACAAGAACAACAAUCCUGAACCUGUAGGAGAGCGUGCUGAAGAAGAGGACGAUGGUGGCCAAAAUGAUGAUACUGAUGAAGAAGAAGAAAGCAUUGAGGGUGUUGAAUUUGUUGAUACUGGAGCCCUUUUGGACAAAGAUGACUACUUGGAAUAUCAACUACCCAAGCACCAUCGCUGCGCCUGCCACCUCCUCAAUCUGGUGUCCACAGUUGAUGCUUCAAAAGCAGAGGACAACCCAUUGUACAAGCGCAUAUCAAGGUCCACAUUUGCCAAAUGCUCUAGCCUGUGGAACAAAAGUUCAAGAACAACCAUCGCAUCUGAAGUGAUUAAAGACCACUGCACACUCCAACUGAUAAGGCCUGUUGCUACAAGGUGGAAUUCAUUCUUCUCCGCUGCGGAAAGAAUUGUGAGAAUAACAAGAGAACAAGGUGAAGGAGCACUUGCAGCUGUCUGCAGUAAGCUGGAUAUACAAAAGUUUACUCCAGUGGAACUUGCAUUUCUUGCAGAAUAUGUGAAGACAAUGAGCCCAGUGGCCAAGGCAGUGGAUGUUCUUCAGGGAGAAACCAGUGUGCAGAUGGGAUGGCUGCUCCCCACCAUAACUCUACUAAAGACCAAGCUCCAGAACCUUCAGGUCACCUCCAAGUUUUGUGAGCCUUUGAUUGCUGCACUUCUUUCUGGCAUUGAAAAACGCUUCGGAGAAAUGCUUGCAGAUCCAGAGCUGAUAGCCGCAGCCAUUCUGGUUCCCAAAUUUAAAACCUGCUGGACAAAUGAUGAAAACAUCUUGAAACUUGGCCUUGACUACAUAAAAAGCCACUUGAGCUGUCAGGAAAGGAAUCCUGUCUCUGAGGGCUCCCUGUCAUCUGUGGAAGAGGACUUCUUUUCCUCCUUAAAGAAGACUGGCCCCCUUGAAAAGACCCAGCAGCUGGAUGCAUACCUGGGGUGCCCAGGAGACAUGACAGAGGUGAUGAAGUCCUUCCCAGCUGUGUGCCACCUAUCACUGAAGCUUAAUACGGCACUCCCUGCCUCAGCAGCCUGUGAAAGACUGUUCAGUGUUGCAGGGCUGAUCUUCAGGCCAAGAAGAGCGUGCAUUGGCUCAGUAAACUUUGAGAACCAGCUACUUUUGCGGCUGAACAAAGACUAUUGGUAACUCUUUGUUGCUUGUCCUUUGCUUGACUGAUGUCAGUCUUUAUGUUAAAAGUGCCUGUUACAUCUCCUUAAAUUUGAAUCGUUGCGAUUACCUACAGAAAUGGGCAUGACCAAGAAUGUGGCACAAUAAAGGUUAAUUGAUAAUA